CCGGCGAUUUCCGAAUGGGGAAACCCAGUGUGUUUCGACACACUAUCAUUAACUGAAUCCAUAGGUUAAUGAGGCGAACCGGGGGAACUGAAACAUCUAAGUACCCCGAGGAAAAGAAAUCAACCGAGAUUCCCCCAGUAGCGGCGAGCGAACGGGGAGGAGCCCAGAGCCUGAAUCAGUGUGUGUGUUAGUGGAAGCGUCUGGAAAGGCGCGCGAUACAGGGUGACAGCCCCGUACACAAAAAUGCACAUAUUGUGAGCUCGAUGAGUAGGGCGGGACACGUGGUAUCCUGUCUGAAUAUGGGGGGA
rnacentral:rRNA from 1 species